CGUGGGUAACCUACCUCAUAGUGGGGGAUAACAGUCGGAAACGACUGCUAAUACCGCAUAGGACAUGGAAUCACAUGAUUCUGUGAGGAAAGGUGGCGCAAGCUAUCGCUAAGAGAUGGACCCGCGGUGCAUUAGCUAGUUGGUAGGGUAAAGGCCUACCAAGGCGAUGACGCAUAGCCGACCUGAGAGGGUGAUCGGCCACAUUGGGACUGAGACACGGCCCAA
rnacentral:rRNA from 1 species